UGAGGCAAUUGAAAUUUGUACGCAUUAUUGUAUAUACCAAAUGGAUUAUUUCUUGUGACUCUUACUUUCAACGGUCUAGGACAAGAUAGCAAACAAGCAAUCGACAACUUGAAAUCGUAAAAUAACGAAGCAGAUUUGUACCUAAUUUUAUAUAUUUUCUAACGUAACCACUUCCCCCUUUCCUUAUUAUAAGAGGAUGGUGGAGGGACGAGGAAUAGAAUUGUACUCCGGCACAAACAGCGAUAAGAAUCUCGAUGUGCUGAAAUGUCCAGAUAAACCUUGGGAGUAUGUUGUUACUAUAUCUUCAGGUACCUCCCUUUCCACUGCCAAGGAGUCGAGAAGAUCUUUCUUAGUUGCACACAGUCCUCAAUUCUUGCAGCCAGUGUCGUAAUCGAAUCCAGGAUGCAUAAGAAGAUGGAUCAUAGCAUAUAAUCGCUGCAUGAGCUCC